rnacentral:lncRNA from 1 species
AAUCUCUAUUUUGACUUUGCUCAAAAACAGAAGUCUCAUUCUGCAUGUGUCCAUUGCCUCUCUGUUAGGAGGUAGGUGGCAUUCCCGAUCCUUGGUGCUCUGGAAACUUGACCGGUCAUUGAGAAAAUGGAAGCCCAGAGACUUCCAUGUGAUUGGCUCAAGAACACAGAAGCUGUCAUUGGCAGUUAAAAUUUGAAUUUAGGACUCCAAAACAGCAUUCCUUCUCCAUAUUACUACCAACUGUGUUUUUGGGACGCUCCAGGUUGCCCCUGUCCCUUAAGAGCUUACCUUGGGAGAAGUCCCAGACGGACAUGCUCAUCUCCAAACUGAGCAAAAGAACUUAAAGAACUUGUUGAUCCCAGUCCAGGAGGAAAAUCGAUGGUUCAACCGUACGUCCAAAGGGCCGUCGAUUUAGACACAGCCCUGGAGUCCAGCCCCCUCCUUGCAUCAACGAGAAAACUGAGGAUUGGAAAAAUCGUGGCUUGUCUGAGGCUACAACAUUAAUGGCAUUGGAUGUGAAUGCAAAUCCUUUGACUCCAAGAGACUGAGUCUUCCUUCAGCAAUCUGAAGUGGAGUUGCCAUCUUUUUUUUUUUCAAAGCUAGAAGUCAGAAGUAUCCAAAGUCACUUAGAAUCCAAAGACUGAAGAACUUUGAAGAGACUGAAAACUGUCAAGGGAGUGAUGCUUUCCAUUCUCCUCAUCACAUAAAUUUCUGCUUGGCUCUUCAUAAAGAUUCAGGACUUUGAUCUCCACCAGUGAGGAGAAAGAGGACUUGGGGACUGAGGUUGCAGACUAUAAUCAUUGUGGGGAAGAGGGAUGCCAUAUCUGUAUUGGUGCCAGCUUUGUAGAAGAAGGACAAUUUCUUCCAUGCUGUCAUUCAUGCUGUGAGAAGGUGUUAUUGAAUCUGCUGCACUUCUAUAUACCAACUCUAAUUAAUAUCAAAGAGGUUGGAGAUGGGGACACCUUUGUAAAACUUUUAAGUCUCUAGUUGACAAUUAACAUACAAUGAAAUAAAGUGGAACAUGACAUACUUUGAUUCA